rnacentral:rRNA from 1 species
UACGAAGGGGGCUAGCGUUGUUCGGAUUUACUGGGCGUAAAGCGCACGUAGGCGGAUUGUUAAGUCAGGGGUGAAAUCCUGGAGCUCAACUCCAGAACUGCCUUGAUACUGGCAAUCUUGAGUCCGGAAGAGGUGAGUGGAACUCCUAGUGUAGAGGUGGAAUUCGUAGAUAUUCGCAAGAACACCAGUGGCGAAGGCGGCUCACUGGCCCGAUACUGACGCUGAGGCACGAAAGCGUGGGGAGCAAACAGGG